CCUCCGUUGGUGAACCAGCGGAGGGAUCAUUACCGAAGUUACCUUCAAAACCCACUGUGAACCUUACCUCUUGCCGCGUUGUCUCGGCGGGAGGCGGUGUGCGUCGCGCGCCCUAGCGGGCCGCGCCGCUCCCGUCCCCGCCGGCAGCGCCAAACUCUAAAUGCACAGCGGACUGUACGUUCUGAUUUACAAAAAAAACAAGUUAAAACUUUCAACAACGGAUCUCUUGGUUCUG
rnacentral:misc_RNA from 1 species